UUUUUUUUGAGACAGGUUCUCACUCUGUCACCCAGGCUGAAGUGCAGUGGUGUGAUCUUGGCUCACUGCAGCCUCAACCUUCUGUGCUCAAGUGGUUCUCCCACUUCAGCCUCCUGAGUAGCUGGGACAACAGGUGUAUGCCACCAUGGCUUGCUAAUUUUUUAUUGUUUUUUGUAGAGAUGGGGUUUUCGCCAUGUUGCUCAGGUUGGUCUCGAACUCCUGUACUCAAGCAAGCAGCCCACCUCGGCCUCCCAAAAUGUUGGGAUUAUAGGUGUGAGUCACCAUGCCCAGCUGCAGUGAAAGCUUUUCUAUUCUCAAGAACCCAGUGUUAUAGUAUUGGCUUACAGCACAUUGGGCAGGGAGCUCCUUUUGCUUGGUAACACUAGAAAAUUCAGGUACCUCAACAGGAUAUAAUCCUACUACCUAGAUCAUUGUUAACUAACAUCUCAGUGUAUUCAUAUCCAGGUGGCUUUUGCUAGACAUACACAUUAAUAUAAUGUAGUUUUGUAACAUUCUAUAACGUGCUUCUAUAGUACUCUCUAGGCAGCUCUGUAGAUUGAUACCUCUUUUGCAUUUGUGAUGACACAGUAGUCUAGGAAUGGAAGUAGGAGGAUUUAACCAGUCCCACGUUGAUAGAUAUUUGUGUUCUUCAGUUUUCUCUGCUAGGUGACACCUCACUCCCCAGCCUCCUUUUAUUUAUGUAUUUAUUUUUUGAGAUGGAGUCUCGCUCUGUUGCCCAGGCUGGAGUGCAAUGGUGUAAUCUCGGCUCACUGCAACCUCCACCUGCUGGGUCCAAGUGAUUGUCCUGGCUCAGCCUCCUGAAUAGGUGGGAUUACAGGCAUGCACCACCAAGCCUGGCUAAUUUUUGUAUUUUUAGUACAGGCGUGGCAUCAUGUUGGCCAGGCUGGUCUCGAACUCCCAACCUCAAAUGAUCCACCCACCUUGGCCUCUCAAAGUGCUGGGAUUACAGGCAUGAGCCACUGUGCCCAGCCCAACCUGCUUUUAGCAGCUGAACACAGCCCUGCCUUGGGAAGUUAAUGGCCUUGGAAGAAUUUUCCUCCUUCCAAGCAGGGAAGGGAGGAGAGAUAGGGCUAACAGCUUACUCUCUUCAGAGUUUCCUGGGGAAGGGGACACCUAUACAGUGGCACGGCCCUGCCGAAGGUCAAGAUGCUGUAGUGUUAUGGUUUAAAGGUAGGUGCGAGGUCUGGGGUCCUCGGCACUAAAAGAACUAAUCUCUCCUUCCCCUACUGCUGUCCAGGUUCAUGGAUAGUCAUGCUUGGUCUUGUCUUACUGUUCUUUCUGGUGUCAGCCACAGCCUUGCUUCCCCAGGCACUCCUGGCCUUUGUUUUCCUCCCUCGAUGAAUACCUCUGGACUCACCCUAGCUGUCCUGUACAACCUGCCCUGCACCUCUGGGCAGUCCUGGGGUCUCCUGGACCUCUCCUUCCCAGCCUCCUGCAAGAUGCUGAAGGACUUGCUGCUGGCUGCACUGGCCUUCACUAGUGUCACUCUGUUGCUGCUCCUGUGACCCUGAGGAAGGCACUCGAGGUCUUCCAGCCAUCCUGCCCUCUCUGCAGCUUAAGAGGUACUCUUUUGGUGGCCUCCUGCCAGCCUGGAGGCCCACAGAUGGGACUGGUGACUUGGACAACAGAGAGACUCUCUUCUGAGGAGGAAAUUGAUAUGGAAUCUCAGCCUA
rnacentral:lncRNA from 1 species